rnacentral:rRNA from 1 species
UACGAGUGCCCCAAGCGUUAUCCGGAAUUAUUGGGCGUAAAGGGUGUGUAGGUGGUUGUGUUAGUCUCAUGUCAAAUUCUUCGGCUUAACCGGGGUACCGCAUGGGAAACGGCACAACUAGAGGAUGCGAGGGGUGAAUGGAACUCAUGGAGUAGGGGUGAAAUCCGUUGAUAUCAUGGGGAACACCAAAAGCGAAGGCAGUUCACUGGCGCACUCCUGACACUGAAACACGAAAGCGUGGGUAGCGAAUGGG